rnacentral:sRNA from 1 species
AUGAUGGUAUAAUACAUGUGUGAGCAAGUUGAAUAGAUGGUGGCUAACCUAGUAUAAGGAGAGUGAUGACUUAUGUUUUAUUCAAGUCUAAUCUUUAGAAAGGAGAAGCCUUUUGGUAUCAAUUAUAGAUACGUUACACUUAAUGUUAGGUUUUGGUACAUUGAUAUUAACUUUUAUAGG